rnacentral:rRNA from 1 species
UACGUAGGGUGCGAGCGUUGUCCGGAAUUAUUGGGCGUAAAGGGCGCGUAGGCGGGCCUCCAAGUCCGGGGUGAAAUCCUCCCGCCCAACGGGAGAAGAGCCUCGGAGACUGGGGGCCUCGAGGGAGGUAGGGGCGUGCGGAACUAUGGGUGGAGCGGUGAAAUGCAUUGAUAUCCAUAGGAACUCCGGUGGCGAAGGCGGCACGCUGGACCUCUUCUGACGCUGAGGCGCGAAGGCCAGGGGAGCAAACGGG